rnacentral:lncRNA from 1 species
AUGGCGCACGCGCCGUACAGCCGGUCUUCCCUCUUCCCGUCCUUCCGCGCGCCGGCACCGCCCACUCACCAGCUGCACCCCCUCCCAGCGUCCUCAGCCUCACCCCCUUUCUGGCUGCUCCCGCCGGUCCAGGCUCCGAGCCCGGAAGUGGAUAUUGCGGCUCGGCUAAGAGGACGAGGGGGAGGGGGAAGUACUUCCGGGGAAACGGGCCCCGGGUUGGUGUUUGUAAACUUGCCUCGGUCCCGGCAGGGCAGCGACGGCCACGGGGUUGGCACGGUGCGCUGGGACCUGGAGGAGGCGCCGCGCGGCGGGGGAGACUGCGAGAGGCCGCGCCUGGCAGGUAGAAGCACGCCUCAGGGAGCGCAGCGUCGUCCGGGCCGGCGGCAGCGCCUCAGCAGCUCGCAGGCCGUGGGGCGCCGCGCGGGAAGGGGGAGGGGAAGGGAGGAGGGGCGCGUGGCGAAGGGAGGGGGCCGGAGAGGGGAAGGGGCCGCGCGCGCGCGCGCGUACCGCCCCCCCCGCCCCGGCCCGCCAGUCAGGCCGCGUCGCCGGCCCGGCGGAGGGGGCUUGCUUGGCGGGGACGCGGACGCGAGCACGCACCUCGCGCGCUCCUCGGCGCUCUCCUCCGGCUUCUUGCGGUGGGGCGCUGCGGCUGGGUGGCUGGCUGGCAGGCUGGAGGAGGAGGAGGGAGGGAACGCGCAGCGCCGGCGUCCGUCCGCCUGCCUGCCUUCCACCUCCGCAGCGAGUUUCCGUACCUUCGGGCGGAAUCGGAGAACGCGCACGUGUGGGCCGGCCCGGCGCGCACUGCCAGUCCGGUUGCUGCCUGCCGCUCAAGCGUCCAGCGAUAGCCCUCGAGCUGUCCUCUACCCCAGUUCUGGCCUCCUUAAUAGAGUGCGAGGUUCGCGGGCCGGCCCACUGGGCACAAAAGCCCCGAGGGGCCUCCGCCCCCUUCUAUUCCUAAGAUGGCAAAUCCAAGCAGUUGGCCCGUUGCGGCUCCUCUAUGAGAGGCCCCAAUUACUUUUACUCCUGUUGGCAGCUCCUCUUUGCCCAGGAGACCAGUUUUUACUCCUGACCUAG